GGAGGGGUGGGUGAGCGGUUUAAGCCACCAGACUGUAAAUCUGGCGCCCUUAGGGCUUCGUAGGUUAGAAUCCUACCCCCUCCACCA
rnacentral:tRNA from 1 species